rnacentral:rRNA from 1 species
AGUGGCGGACGGGUGAGUAACACGUGAGCAACCUGCCUAUCAGAGGGGGAUAACGAUUGGAAACGAUCGCUAAUACCGCAUGACAUAGCGGAACCGCAUGGUUUUGCUAUCAAAGAUUUAUCGCUGAUAGAUGGGCUCGCGUCCGAUUAGAUAGUUGGUGGGGUAACGGCCUACCAAGUCGACGAUCGGUAGCCGGACUGAGAGGUCGAACGGCCACAUUGGGACUGAGACACGGCCCAGACUCCUACGGGAGGCAGCAGUGGGGGAUAUUGCACAAUGGGGGAAACCCUGAUGCAGCGACGCCGCGUGAGGGAAGACGGUCCUCUGGAUUGUAAACCUCUGUCUUCGGGGACGAAACGAGACGGUACCCGAGGAGGAAGCCACGGCUAACUACGUGCCAGCAGCCGCGGUAAUACGUAGGUGGCAAGCGUUGUCCGGAAUUACUGGGUGUAAAGGGAGCGUAGGCGGGCAGGCAAGUCAGGCGUGAAAUAUAUCGGCUCAACCGGUAACGGCGCUUGAAACUGCAGGUCUUGAGUGAAGUAGAGGUUGGCGGAAUUCCUAGUGUAGCGGUGAAAUGCGUAGAUAUUAGGAGGAACACCAGUGGCGAAGGCGGCCAACUGGGCUUUUACUGACGCUGAGG